rnacentral:rRNA from 1 species
UACGUAGGGUGCGAGCGUUAAUCGGAAUUACUGGGCGUAAAGCGUGCGCAGGCGGUUUUGUAAGCCAGAUGUGAAAGCCCCGGGCUCAACCUGGGAAUGGCAUUUGGGACUGCAAGGCUGGAGUUUGGCAGAGGAGACUGGAAUUCCUGGUGUAGCAGUGAAAUGCGUAGAUAUCUGGAGGAACAUCCGUGGCGAAGGCGACUACCUGGACCAGCACUGACACUGAGGCACGAAAGCGUGGGGAGCAAACAGG